rnacentral:misc_RNA from 1 species
UGUCUCGGAUAUAUUUUGAAUGGAUUUUUUUUGUUUUGGCAAGAGCAUGAGAGCUUUUACUAGGCAAGAAGACAAGAGAUGGAGAGUCCAGCCGGGCCUGCGCUUAAGUGCGCGGUCUUGCUAGGCUUGUAAGUUUCUUUCUUGCUAUUCCAAACGGUGAGAGAUUUCUGUGCUUUUGUUAUAGGACAAUUAAAACCGUUUCAAUACAACACACUGUGGAGUUUUCAUAUCUUUGCAACUUUUUCUUUGGGCAUUCGAGCAAUCGGGGCCCAGAGGUAACAAACACAAACAAUUUUAUUUAUUCAUUAAAUUUUUGUCAAAAACAAGAAUUUUCGUAACUGGAAAUUUUAAAAUAUUAAAAACUUUCAACAACGGAUCUCUUGGUUCUCGCAUCGAUGAAGAACGCAGCGAAAUGCGAUACGUAAUGUGAAUUGCAGAAUUCCGUGAAUCAUCGAAUCUUUGAACGCACAUUGCGCCCCUUGGUAUUCCAGGGGGCAUGCCUGUUUGAGCGUCAUUUCCUUCUCAAACAUUCUGUUUGGUAGUGAGUGAUACUCUUUGGAGUUAACUUGAAAUUGCUGGCCUUUUCAUUGGAUGUUUUUUUUUCCAAAGAGAGGUUUCUCUGCGUGCUUGAGGUAUAAUGCAAGUAUACGGUCGUUUUAGGUUUUACCAACUGCGGCUAAUCUUUUUUAUACUGAGCGUAUUGGAACGUUAUCGAUAAGAAGAGAGCGUCUAGGCGAACAAUGUUCUUAAAGUUUGACCUCAAAUCAGGUAGGAGUACCCGCUGACUUAGUGAACAAAAAAAAAAGAAAAAAAAAAUCUGUAUAUUUUUUCUAUUUUGUCUCAGAAGGGGUUUUUUUUUUUGUUGGGGCAAGAGCAUGGAAGAGCUUUACGAGCGCAAGAAAAACAAGAAGAUGGAAGAGUCCAGCGCGGCCUGCCCUUAGGUGGCGCGUCUGGCUAGGCUGGUAGUACUCCGGCAUACCCAACGGAGAAGAAUUCUGUGCCUUUGUUAAGAGCAAUAAACCCGUUCACAACCAGCAGCGUGAGAUUACAAUUGUGUCAUUUUUUGUGGCCUCGCACAGUCGACAAAGAAUACUACAUAUAUUCGCAUAGCUGCCAGAGGUGUUCGAUAUCGACUAUCGACUGUCAGCUCACGUA